rnacentral:snRNA from 1 species
CUCUUUGCGCUUGGGGCAAUGACGCAGUUAGUGAGGUGAAACCGAGACGCGUCAAUUGCUGGUUGAAAACUACUUCCAUUUCCAAACUCCCUUGCUUGUAGAAUUUACAGCAGACAAUCAAGCUGCCAUAAUAAUUACUACUGACAGCAGU